rnacentral:rRNA from 1 species
GAGUGAAAGCGGCAACAGCUCAAAUUUGAAAUCUGGCCUCUUYGGGGUCCGAGUUGUAAUUUGUAGAGGGUGUUUCGGGCGCGAUGCCGGUCUAAGUUCCUUGGAACAGGACGUCGCAGAGGGUGAGAAUCCCGUACGUGACCGGCGAUCAAGCCUGUGUGAAGCCCCUUCGACGAGUCGAGUUGUUUGGGAAUGCAGCUCAAAAUGGGUGGUAAAUUUCAUCUAAAGCUAAAUAUUGGCCAGAGACCGAUAGCGGACAAGUAGAGUGAUCGAAAGAUGAAAAGCACUUUGGAAAGAGAGUCAAACAGUACGUGAAAUUGUUGAAAGGGAAGCGCUUGCAAUCAGACCGGUCCGGAGGCGAUCAGCCGCUGCUCGUUCAGCGGUGCACUCGCCUGCGAUCCGGCCAGCAUCGGUUUGGGCGGUGGGAUAAAAGUCCCGGGAAUGUAGCUUCUCUCGGGGAGUCUUAUAGCCCGGGUCGCAAUGCCGCCUGCCCGGACCGAGGACCGCGCUNCGGCUAGGAUGCUGGCGUAAUGGUUGCAAGCGACCCGUCUUGAA